rnacentral:rRNA from 1 species
AGUGGGGAAUAUUGCACAAUGGACGAAAGUCUGAUGCAGCAACGCCGCGUGGAGGAUGACACAUUUCGGUGCGUAAACUCCUUUUAUAUGAGAAGAAAAUGACGGUAUCAUAUGAAUAAGCGCCGGCUAACUCCGUGCCAGCAGCCGCGGUAAUACGGAGGGCGCAAGCGUUACUCGGAAUCACUGGGCGUAAAGAGCGUGUAGGCGGGUAGUUAAGUUGGAAGUGAAAUCCUAUGGCUCAACCAUAGAACUGCUUCCAAAACUGAUUACCUAGAAUAUGGGAGAGGUAGAUGGAAUUUCUGGUGUAGGGGUAAAAUCCGUAGAGAUCAGAAGGAAUACCGAUUGCGAAGGCGAUCUACUGGAACAUUAUUGACGCUGAGACGCGAAAGCGUGGGGAGCAAACAGGAUUAGAUACCCUGGUAGUCCACGCCCUAAACGAUGUACAUUAGUUGUUGUGAGGCUAGACCUUGCAGUAAUGCAGUUAACACAUUAAAUGUACCGCCUGGGGAGUACCGGUCGCAAGAUUA